rnacentral:lncRNA from 1 species
CGUUAACCCACUGAGCAAGGCCAGGGAUGGAACCGCAACCUCACAGUUUCCAGUCAGAUUCGCUAACCACUGAGCCACGACGGGAACUCAAGGGAAUGCUUUCUUAAAAUGAAAGGCCCAUUUAGCUGACCUUGCCUUCUGCUUUUCUUUACAUCUGGAACUCAACUGCUGUACUGGAGCUUGAGCAGCCAUCCCGUGACUGCAAAGGAACACGCACAUGUUAAGGAUGCUGGGUGAAGGGAAGAGAGAAGGUCCUGGCUCUCCGAGGACGUUGUGGAUAUUCCAGAUCAGCCCUGGACUAAAAAAGACGUAUAUGAUAGGUAAUACGUUUAAGCUACUGUUUUUUCCAAUUGUAUUACAGGUAAGCUAAAUGUCUAAAUCUUACAGUAUGACCCCACGCCCCCCUCCCACUUCAAUAGGAGGGGAUGGAACCUGCAACCUCAUGGUUCCUAGUCAGAUUCAUUUCUGCUGCACCACCACGGGAACUCCUACUCCAACAAUCUUAAAGGCAUUUAUUGGAAGGAUGUUAAGAGCUCAUGAAAUGACAGGAAGUUGUGAUACCGGGCUUGAAAAAUAAGUAAAUCGCUGAGUAACUGCAGCAGCCAAGAAGCUGGAAAGUGUUAGCAGGAUAGGCCGAAAGGGACACCUUUGUUGUGGGGCGUGGCUGCUCCCCCCCCCCCGCCCGAGGAAUUCCGACUCACGGGCCCUCCAUCUCCUUCCUGCUGUGAAGUAAAUCUUUUUGCCCCUUUGUCUUUGUCUUUUUGUCACUUGGUCCAGAUUAAAGUUUCUGGAAAAAUAGUCACUGGCUGAAAAAUCCCGUGUCACGCCGGUGAUGCUGGAACAUCCGAACGUGGCCUCGCUUGCCUCGAGAUGGGAAGGCGCGCACGCUUCUCACCGAGACCGGGGGGGGCGGGAUUCCCUCAAACGGGGAGAAGGCUUGGGUACCGGGCCAAGUACAGCUGUCUGCUGCAGCUGUCUAGAACUAAAGCAAAAUAUGUGUUCCCACACGGCGCAGUUUGUUUUGGUGCCAUGUAUGUAUUUAGGGCCUCUACAAUGGCUUAAAAAGUAAUAAAAACACAUGAAUUGAGUGUGAUGGUUUUAGAGAAACAUAAUCCUCUUUCUCUAGUCGAAAGGAAUAUUCACUACUUCAGAUAUGGUUAUGCUAGAAGUUUUACUUAAUGCUCAGCUAAGAAUAGAAAGAAAUUACAAAAUAGACACUUAAAACAUCAAUGGAAAAAGAACUUAAAAUACGUUUGGUUGCAUUGUGCCCAAGUUAUGUAGGGCUCCAGUCUCAAUAGCACACAGUUCUACCUUUCUGUGGAAAUUGCCGUAAGUCUGGAAAUCCUAAGACCUUGAAAACCACCUACCAAAUUUUAAAAUGUCUGUAUGGGUUUUGAGGAAAGUUUGUGGUGAUUGAUGUUUCCUGAAAACCCAGUAAGAAUUGGGGCUCGUAUAAAUAAAAUGAAGUUUUUUUCUCAGAUAUGAAAGAA